AAAAAAAAAGAAGAGAGCAUUCCUGAGGAAAAGAGUAGAACUUCCUUAUUCUUCAGCUCAGUAACUCGAGAACCUGUUAUUUGCUGGUCAUAAAUAAGUCACUUGCCAAAGAGACAUCAAAUAACAACAAAUGUCCUGGGAUCCUAGAGAGGCUCUGUGCUGGGAGCAAGAGCAGAUUAUUUCAGAGACCCUGGGGGUGACUUGACAUUUCUAAAAGAGAAAAUAGAAACAGCAAGGAUUGAUGGAUGAUAAAUUGCAUUAUCCAUUUCCAAUUCACUGAAUUCUACUUAAAGAAUGGCCAUAUUUCUUCCUCUAUUGGUUAGUCUCAACACCAGGAAGGAAACAUAGUUGAAUGACUAACUGAGGGUGGCAGCAGAUCAUUGCCAAAUUACUCUACACGGAACUGUAAAAUCAACUUGUCUAGAGUUAUAAGCAAGCCUGCAAUAGCUCCAAUAACAGGUUCCCUCCCCUUGGGAGUACCAAGCCCUUGUCAGCGGGCCUCAGCCUCUCACUUAUAAAAUGAAGAGGACAGUGUGAGGCAGAAUAUCAUUUUUAAAAACCGCUUUUUUAUGAUUGGGGAAAUAAUCUCCCAAAUUCAUCGUGUAAAGAAUUGGAGAGAGAUAACAAAUGGCUCUUGGUGUUAAAGGACUUCCCUGUAACAAAUACCUUCACAACAAAAGUCUCAACAGCCCCGGUCAAGAAGGUGCUAGUCAUCACAAAGAUGUGCAGAAAGGCUUGCCAUGUCCCAGUAAUGAAAUAGCUUAGGUUGGUGUCUUAUAAAUAAGAGAAAUUCAGUCCCCACAGGGUGGAAGCUGGGAAGCCCAAGAUUAAGGUACCAUCAAAUUCUCUGUCUUCUGAGGGCUUUUUAGACCAUGAAGAAAACAUAGAUGUGUGCUCAUUUGUUAAGGAAGGCAAGACAGCUGUUUUAGCAUACACACACACACACACACACACACACACACACAAAUACAACCUGAUAACUCCAUAUAAUAUUACUUGUAUGUCUGUUUUCAAGGCUGACCAUUUAGUAUUUGAUACCCAAGUGCUGUGUUCUUCUCUAACACUCAGUGUUUCCUAGCUGACUGCAGUUCCUUGUAUAGAGUGGAGGCCUCCUGAGCUUCCCUAGUCCGUUUCUGCAUGACUGCUAUUGUCCUUGUUCAGCUUGUGUUCAGGCAGCCAUGUUGGUGAAACUUUAUUUGUAUAGCUUCUGACAUUACUAGGAAGUACAGUCUUACAGCAAACUCUGUGAUACUCUGCCUUUUAUGAUCUUUCUACUCCCUCUUCAAGAAUGAUCCCCCAGCCUUAGAUGCAGAGGUUGUACAUGUAUCCAUUGGGGUUAAGCACCAUAACUCAGCAUUUUCAUUUUUUUCAUGAUUUGUUUUUAUGUGAUAGUCUCCAUUGGUUACAAAGAAACAUUUUCUUGAUGAGAGGUGAAGACAACAUUUGUCUGUGGCCUAAAGGACAAAUAGUUAGAAUAUAGUUAGAGCUAAUGCUUGUUUAAUAAGGUGACAAUUUUAUGUUCUUCUUCAAUAUCCAUGACUUCACUAGCCCUGGGUAGUCAAGGUUUUCAGCAGGAGGUAUGAUUUCCCUCUUGGUCUUAAGUCCAAUUAAAGAGCUGUUAGUUAUCACCAAGGUAUAUACACCACUAAUGCACCCUUCAGGUUAUUGUACCAUGCUGUUUAUUGGUGUAGUUCAUAAGCAGCAUAUGAGUGUUUGUUGCUUCCAUCUUUUGGAGGCUUGCAUGGUUCCUUCUGCUAUCAUAAAACCUAGUCCUCAAAGAGGAAGCAUUGAAGUCAGUUCUAGCUCAGGACCUUCAUGUGUCUGCAGUUCAUGGUAUCUUCAGCAAUAGGAAAUUACCUUCCAUUUCUAGUAGGAGAGGGCAACCCAGAGCACUAGCAAUAGCCUGUAAUGUUUUGGGAGUCUCUUAAACAACUCUAACAAACAAAUCAAAAGAGGGCUUCUCAUGCCUGAUGUUUGGUUUUCGUUAGGUAGGUUUUGGCUCUUGGAAGGAGUAUUGUCAGCUGAAAUGAGAACACUUCAUUUAAACUAUAUAUGUAUAUGUAUAUGUAUAUGUAUUAUAGGUAUUUUUAGAUAUAUAGUUAAUAGUGUGAUUCCUUCUGACUUUUUCAGACAUUCUUACAGUCAUUUUACCCUCUUAUCUUUCUCUUUAUUCAGUAUUUAUUUCCUUCCCCCUCCAUAAUUAGAGCUUGUCCAAUUUUUCAUUUUAAAGCAAUACUAGUUCCAUUCUUGAAGGAUUCUCUCUUAUGACCUAAUCACUUCCUAAAGAGCCUAUAACCAAAUACUGUCAUAUUUAGUGGUUAGGGACACUAAAAGUUCUCUGUUGGGACAAGAAAUAAAUUCUCAAGGGAAGCAUGUCUGCCUAGCAUGCAGGCUCAGGUUUGAUCUUCAGCUUUCUAUAACUGCAGUAAAUAUGACCAGAAGCAACUUUGGGAGGGGAAAGAGUUUAUUUUCCUUUUACAUCCCAAGGCACAGACUAUCACUGAAGGAAGUCCAAGCAGAAACUCAAGAGAGGAACCAAAAAGAAACCAUAGAAGACCACUGUUUACUGGCUUGUGCCUCAUGGAUUGAGUAUAUAACCUUAUAAAAUUCCCAUACAACCCAAGAACACUUUCCUAGGAUUUGAAACCACCCACAGUGGGCCAGCCCCUCCUACAUCAACCAUUAAUAAAGGAAAUACCCCUACACACAUACCAACAGGAUAAUUCACUUUCACUAAUGUUCCUUCUUCCCAAUUCACUCUAACUUGGGUCAAGUUGACG
rnacentral:lncRNA from 1 species